rnacentral:lncRNA from 1 species
CUGAGUAUUUAGGAGUGGAAUAUAAUGGCAUAACCCCUUUUUUUCCUAUUUGUAUAGGUCCAGCUGCGCUCUUCGGAAUACUAGAAGGAACACAUUGGAGCCCAUUCCUUGUAGCUGGUGCAUCGACGCCUUACCAGCUUCAGCACUGCGACGCGAUGAGCCCAGUGACGAGUGGGCUGCUCCAUGGAUAACGUGGUGUGUUCCCCUGCCUGUAUGUAGGAGAAGGUCCAGCUAGCAAGCCAGAAUCGAGGAAUUCAAAGAAACAGAGAAGAAGAUACUGUACGUUGAGUUGGAGGCUUUUUUGGAGACUGCAUCCAUCUGGAAUUGAAAGAAAACAGCGGUGCCAUUUUUCUGAGUUUGUCAAAACACAGCUCUAGCUGUUGCAAGCAAAUGAGAGUUGAAGGUCAGAGUGUCAAUUCUUCUGGAGUUACGACGCGUUUUUAAUCAUCUUACGGCAUCUAGACUCACAACAGGCGAAACGUAGCGGAGGAGGAGGAAGAUGGGGACGUAAUUCAGAAGAUACGUUUGGAGCAGCUGUCCUUCUGGUUGACAGAAGGACUAGACAAAAAGGACUUCAUGAACGGACUCUUGAGUGGGUUGAGACUUGGCUGGACUGCUCUUCUCAGUGGGUAGUGAUCCAUGGUGCAGCCUCCAGCUGGCAUGGCACUCUGUCAUCCUGAAGUGAGGCUGUAGGAGAGCUAAAGAAAUGGGCACGGACCAGUUCCCAGAGGAGACCGAACGGGUGCACAGGAUCAGUGGUGAGCAAAAAUACUGUUACCUCCCCCCGAAACUGGAGCACUAAAUGUGUUUCUGGUUGUAGAGCUUAAAUCAUUACCAUACCAUAUUCAGAUAGCAUUUGUUUCCCAGAUGCAUAGCUAGCGCUGUACUCUGGGAGGGGAAAACAGCAAACGAG